UCCUACGGGGGGCAGCAGUGGGGAAUAUUGCACAAUGGGGGAAACCCUGAUGCAGCGACGCCGCGUGAGUGAAGAAGUAUUUCGGUAUGUAAAGCUCUAUCAGCAGGGAAGAUAAUGACGGUACCUGACUAAGAAGCUCCGGCUAAAUACGUGCCAGCAGCCGCGGUAAUACGUAUGGAGCAAGCGUUAUCCGGAUUUACUGGGUGUAAAGGGAGCGCAGACGGCAGAGCAAGUCUGAAGUGAAAGCCCGCGGCC
rnacentral:rRNA from 1 species